UCUGCCCGCUGGCGGCGUGCCUAAUACAUGCAAGUCGAGCGAACAGACGAGGAGCUUGCUCCUCUGACGUUAGCGGCGGACGGGUGAGUAACACGUGGAUAACCUACCUAUAAGACUGGGAUAACUUCGGGAAACCGGAGCUAAUACCGGAUAAUAUAUUGAACCGCAUGGUUCAAUAGUGAAAGACGGUUUUGCUGUCACUUAUAGAUGGAUCCGCGCCGCAUUAGCUAGUUGGUAAGGUAACGGCUUACCAAGGCGACGAUGCGUAGCCGACCUGAGAGGGUGAUCGGCCACACUGGAACUGAGACACGGUCCAGACUCCUACGGGAGGCAGCAGUAGGGAAUCUUCCGCAAUGGGCGAAAGCCUGACGGAGCAACGCCGCGUGAGUGAUGAAGGUCUUCGGAUCGUAAAACUCUGUUAUUAGGGAAGAACAAAUGUGUAAGUAACUAUGCACGUCUUGACGGUACCUAAUCAGAAAGCCACGGCUAACUACGUG
rnacentral:rRNA from 1 species